GCUUACGGCCAUACCACCCUGAAUGCGCCUGAUCUCGUCUGAUCUCGGAAGCUACGCAGGGUCAGGCCUGGUUAGCGCUUGGAUGGGUGACCACCUGGGAAUACCAGGUGCUGUAAGCU
rfam:Larimichthys crocea isolate SSNF unplaced genomic scaffold scaffold205, whole genome shotgun sequence.